GAAGAGUAAUUGACUGGAUUUAGAUUUAUCUAGAAAGGUCGUUCCCAGCAGAAGCAACAAGAACAACAAGCUUGGAGUGCAACAGAAAUAAACCAAAUGUGUUUGAACAUAUGUCAGAGGGCUGACAUAAUCAUAUGAAGAAUGCUAUACCAGUUUGGCUUUGGGACGAAAUGUGAAUCUACUAGGGCAACAUACAACUGCCCUCUGAGUCAGAAGAUCAGAAGUUGCUGUGGCUACACAUAUUAAGUGGUACAGAGUGUUGUGUGGAUCCAGAGGGAGA
rnacentral:lncRNA from 1 species